UUUAGGGAGACCUACCCGCUCAAAGCUAAAAGCAAGAAGCAGGAGAUGCAGAAAUGUAGAUACUGUAAGCUUGUGAAUAAGUCGAGAGUUGGUCAUCCCAAAGGUCGUUCGGUCUGUAAGUGGUGGCUUCUAAACUAUUGGUUCGGGUUCAUGGGCUAUUAGCUCAGGUGGUUAGAGCGCACCCCUGAUAAGGGUGAGGUCCCUGGUUCGAGUCCAGGAUGGCCCACCUGAAAACAACGAAUAAUUCGGGAUAAGGGUAAUGCCAAGAUCAACGAAUUAUUUUUUGGGGGUUUAGCUCAGUUGGUAGAGCGCCUGCUUUGCAAGCAGGAUGUCAGCAGUUCGAGUCUGCUAACCUCCACUGGAUAAAUACCCGAUGAAACCUGUAAGAUUCAGCAACUUGUCUUGGUGAAGUUAGUGAGUAACUGGCGAACAAGAGAGCCUGCUGGAUGAUUCCAGUGAUAGAACCUAGAAAACUGCAUAGUAGGAAAAGUCAGGUAGAAACAAACACCAAUGUAGAUUGUUUGU
rnacentral:tRNA from 1 species